UAUAAGAAAACAUUUUUUAGUUUUAACCACCGUCCGGAAACGAAAGAGAGAAGAGUAAACGUCACGUUUGUGUGUGAAAUAUAAAUACACACAGCUCUAUCCUUAAAAAAAAAAUAUUUUUAACGGUUAUUAUUUUCGUUUUGCUGGAUGUGUAAGCCUAUUUCAGACAUGGAAUUUUGUGUGUUAACUACUUGGUGUGUUGCUCAUAAUUAUUAGAGACGGGCGGAUGAGAGAGACGCUGAUUCUCUGUGCACGGCGGUGGUGCUGGAGCAGCAGAGGGCGCCGUGUGCGAUAACUACCGAGAUGCUACGAUCCGUGCUAAUGAUAAUGACUACUCAUUCGACCUACUUCUGAGUAGUAAUAAUAACAAUAUUCCAGCAGCCAAAGCGUCUAGAGUAUAGAGGGACGACGUGCAUAUUGUGAUUUGAAGCGUAAAAGACGCGCAACAAGCCACAAAAGUUGGUAACUAACAAACACAACUGCUGAGCAUAAUAGCAAUAAAAAACAUGGAAGAGAAAUUGUUUCGUUCUUUUUUUGCAGCAGCAGAUGGAAUUGGGGACAACCGGGGUAGGUAUAUACAUCUGCGUCUAUACACAGCAGCAUCGCUAUCCCUCCUCUUGUUGUUGAAGGCAUAUCACGAUCUAAAAUGAAACAACGAAAUUUCUCUCUAUCUCAACUUUUAGACGCCCGUAUUAUUAUUACACAUUUUUUUCAGGUUUCUACGGAUAAGUUGAUCAUUUUUUUUUGGCAGAUGAACCCAACGUCGGUGCACGAGAAACACAAGAAGGUCACGUUCCGCGCAGUCUCUCCUUAAGAAUAUUUGACGCCUCUCUUAGUUGUUGGUUAUAUCACGAUUUAUAAUUGACCCAGUUUCACUCUCUUUUCUGUUGGUUCUUAUUUUCUUUCUUUCGUUCUUGAAAAAAAGGGAUGAUUCACCGCUGUUGUAGACGAAAGAAACAUUUGAGUCCGUUUGAUCGUUUAAUGUUUGGCUGCUGUUGCCAGUCGGACGUGACAAUAGCCGCUAAUAAAAAAAACGACGCGAACCCUUCCUCAAUUGCUGUGCGUGUGUGUUUGCUGUGUGGUGGUCAUCCUUUUAUUAUUAUUUUUAUUUCAAUUCUUAUAUUUUUUUCUUCAAAGUCAUUUAGGUAUACACGGAACUGCGGGGUGCCGGUAACCUAAAUAACGAAAAAUUAUUGGUCAUCCUUGAUGACUAAACCAAGCAUGGCCUUCUUUUUCUAUUUCUCCUCUUUUUGGGGUUUUUAUCGAUUUUCUUUUUCUUUUUUGUUUUUUUAGAAUUAAAAAAAAAAGGAAAUGAAUAGAACGCCUUAGAAUAAUAACCGGAAAAUCCGGCGUACCGGAUUGAAAUCAUUUCGGGUCGGCCCGUUUUGUCCAAAAAAAAAAGUCUAUCCGGUCUAAUAAAUGAGUAGUAGAAUG